GCUUCAGCAUUCACCAGUGAGUUUUGUCUGCCCCCUCUUUUGUGUGAGGCUUCAGCCUGCUCCCCCAACCUUGGUUGGUGAUAAUGAGAAUAAUGGAUGAGCUCCGGUUGAAGGGGUUUUGGUUUGCACUGAUCGGCACAAUUUCCGCCAAUUUUUGAACCUGAAGUGGAACUAGAACCUUAUUCGGAUUUUUUUCUCUCUCUCUCUCUCUCGGUCCCUCUCGUCUCAUUUGACAAUAGAAGGCGCAGACAGUUGUCUCUGUUGGAAUCCCUGACAGCUCCUGUAUCAGCGUUGAAACAGAGCGCAUUUCCUCCCUAGGGAGCUGAACUAAUAUGAACAGAGACAAUCUGCAAAACGCAGAUAGAGAGGGGCUACCCAGAGCACUGUCAGAACGCUGUCUGAAAAUUCCCACAGGGCCACUCUGUGGGGGUACGUUGUGGAUUUUCUUUUAUCAUUCACAUCACGCGGUUGUGUUUGACAAGGACUAAUGAACGCUGACACAGGGAGGUUAUGCAAUAUUUAUUCAGUGCCUCAGAGACAUGGCAACGUAUUGCACCGACCCUCCGCUGUAGGGCAGUUAUGGAUCCCUCGUACUAUUUCCAUUAACCCUUAAGGAACUGCAACAGCCGGCUGUCCCAGUGGGAGAGGAUGAAUCUAUUUAGUUGCUUAUCUGCUUUGAACAGAACUGACCAUAUGGACAUCUCCCAAGAAGACCAAGAUAUCAAAGAGCAAGUCAGGAACUCGGACAGAUUUUAUCUCCAGUAAAGCCAUUUAAAGCAGUGCCAUGACUGGUCCAUGCAUCAGCUGUGGGAUGAGCAAGACAUUGAUAACUGGACAGAAACAUGACUGAGUUCAAAACUAGAUAACACAGUGUGGAGCUGGAGGAACACAGCAGGCCAGGCAGUAUCAGAGGGGCUGGAAGGCUGACAUUUCGGGUUGGACCCUUCUUCAGAAAAUUCUUCAAAACUAAACUGGUUUUAUCAGCUCCCUUUAACGGCUCUCCUGAAAAGCUCUACCCCAAUGAAAAUAAGGAGAAAGUACACAACCAAAGUGAAUCUUGCAACUGCUUCACCAAUCACUGAAAAAGGGAUACCAGAUCAAGAGCCAGCACACAAACAAUAGGCCAAAUGGCCUCCUUUUACUGGGGAUGCAACCUGCAAAGAGAGAACCUUGUUUUAAGUAUCUUUAUGUUGGUAAGAAUUGAAGAACGUAUGCCUUCAACAAUAGGAAUAUGCUGUCUGUGUCUUUCAAAACGCAAUCAUUGAUUCCGCUUUGUAACCAAAUCUUUUGACUUUAAUUUGGGAGACCCAAUCAAGGAUCCAUCAACGUUUCACUGAGGCAUAUCAUACGGGACCCAUUUGGGGUUCAGUCUGGGUGACUGAGUGGAUGGUCAAAGUUUCUUUUAAUGUAGACCAGUGAGGACAGGAUCAAUAUCCUACCUGGACACGCCGUGUAAUUGCCUGAUGCAAGAAACAAAGCAUCGUUAGCGAAGAACAUUCCAUCACAAUUUCCACGACACUGAGUGAUCCAUCAACAGAGAAAUCGGCAAUGGCAACCUGUAGGGAAAGGGGUAACAACAGAUUCUGCUGGACAGGCUAGGUAAAUCUAUUAAGAUUCAUGCCAUCUAAAUGCUGCCUAAAAGUGGGAUAUAAUCAAUUGUGAAUUAAAUACUACAAUCAAAGGAAAUAAGCAAUGUCUCAAACUCUUCAUAACUUAAUACUAAGAUUUAAAAGUCCAACCCCCUCCUCACUUCAGCAAACAUCACUCCUGCUGUUGAAAAUUCUUGUUUCUCACUAUCCCUGUAUAGGUCUUUAAAACAGCGGGCAGGAUUCAUAAACGCAACAUUAACCAACCGACAGUCUCUGACAGACCACGCAUUAACCAUUCACCUGCUUUGACAAUAUCCGGACACUGCUGCCAUCUGGUGCAGUACAGUGCACCAUUGGUAGAGGCUGCGUUCCUACUGUUGCCACCUCAGGAUUGCCAGAGAACAGCCACUGAAGGAUAUCAGAUCCAUUCACCGCAGCAUCUCCUGAGGGGAAAGGGAAAAUACCAAUUCAGUGGAAAUGCGUUAUAAGUCAGUCACAGAAAGGACACUCAAUUAAAGUUAAAGGAGAAUAAGUGGAAACCCCUUGCAAUUCAUUAAGUGAUUCCACUGUAGUAAUACGAUAGAUUAGAUCGAAUCUUGUUGCCGUUUUAGAAUAAAAUCAAUUUUUCACUUG